rnacentral:rRNA from 1 species
AUUGAACGCUGGCGGCAGGCCUAACACAUGCAAGUCGAGCGGAGCGGCGGACGGGUGAGUAAUGCCUAGGAAUCUGCCUGGUAGUGGGGGAUAACGUCCGGAAACGGGCGCUAAUACCGCAUACUAUCAGAUGAGCCUAGGUCGGAUUAGCUAGUUGGUGGGGUAAAGGCCUACCAAGGCGACGAUCCGUAACUGGUCUGAGAGGAUGAUCAGUCACACUGGAACUGAGACACGGUCCAGACGCCUACGGGAGGCAGCAGUGGGGAAUAUUGGACAAUGGGCGAAAGCCUGAUCCAGCCAUGCCGCGUGUAUGAAGAAGGUCUUCGGGUUGUAAAGUACUUUAAGCUGGGAGGCGUUACCCGCAGAAUAAGCACCGGCUAACUCCGUGCCAGCAGCCGCGGUAAUUC